ACUCCUACGGGAGGCAGCAGUAGGGAAUAUUGCACAAUGGGCGCAAGCCUGAUGCAGCCAUGCCGCGUGUAUGAAGAAGGCCUUCGAGUUGUAAAGUACUUUCAGCGAGGAGGAAGGCAUUAAGGUUAAUAACCUUGGUGAUUGACGUUACUCGCAGAAGAAGCACCGGCUAACUCCGUGCCAGCAGCCGCGGUAAU
rnacentral:rRNA from 1 species